rnacentral:rRNA from 1 species
GUGGGGAAUAUUGGGCAAUGGGCGAAAGCCUGACCCAGCAACGCCGCGUGAAGGAAGAAGGUUUUCGGAUCGUAAACUUCUAUCCUUGGUGAAGAUAAUGACGGUAGCCAAGAAGGAAGCCCCGGCUAACUACGUGCCAGCAGCCGCGGUAAUACGUAGGGGGCAAGCGUUGUCCGGAAUGAUUGGGCGUAAAGGGCGCGUAGGCGGCCUGGUAAGUCUGGAGUGAAAGUCCUGCUUUUAAGGUGGGAAUUGCUUUGGAUACUGUCGGGCUUGAGUGCAGGAGAGGUAAGGGGAAUUCCCGGUGUAGCGGUGAAAUGCGUAGAGAUCGGGAGGAACACCAGUGGCGAAGGCGACUUACUGGACUGUAACUGACGCUGAGGCGCGAAAGUGUGGGGAGCAAACAGGAUUAGAAACCCCUGUAGUCC